rnacentral:pre_miRNA from 1 species
GUGGGAAAUGGCUAACUUAUUCAUUAUUGAAAUGUAAUAAGCAAGCUCUUUUCCCAGGC